AAAUUGAAGAGUUUGAUCAUGGCUCAGAUUGAACGCUGGCGGCAGGCCUAACACAUGCAAGUCGAACGGUAACAGGAAGCAGCUUGCUGCUUCGCUGACGAGUGGCGGACGGGUGAGUAAUGUCUGGGAAACUGCCUGAUGGAGGGGGAUAACUACUGGAAACGGUAGCUAAUACCGCAUAACGUCGCAAGACCAAAGAGGGGGACCUUCGGGCCUCUUGCCAUCGGAUGUGCCCAGAUGGGAUUAGCUUGUUGGUGGGGUAACGGCUCACCAAGGCGACGAUCCCUAGCUGGUCUGAGAGGAUGACCAGCCACACUGGAACUG
rnacentral:rRNA from 1 species